GUUCUGGCUUCUUCCAAUUGAAAAGAAUGGGGAUCGAGAUUAUAAAUGUCUUUCUCACUCCAAAAAGCAGUAUUUCUGGUUAAGCUUCCGAAAGAGGAGAAGGGGGAAGGAGGGAAGGGGAGCCCUUCCUUGACAGGAUCAUCAGGAGGUUUGAAAGGAAAUGAAAUAUGUCUCUUCCGUUCUUCGGUGGCCCUUUGGUCUUGAAUUACGGCAGGCAAGAAUUUAUCUGGGGCUGAUUUAUCCAGGAAAGCAAAGAAUGGACAGUCUAAUAUCUCUAGGAAGAGAGUUCUAUAUCCUGGGAGCAGUCAACAGCACAUUGGUAUUGAGAAGACAGCUGGUGGUGGAGAAAGUGAACGAUUA
rnacentral:lncRNA from 11 species